UACGUAGGGUGCGAGCGUUAAUCGGAAUUACUGGGCGUAAAGCGUGCGCAGGCGGCUUUGCAAGACAGAUGUGAAAUCCCCGGGCUCAACCUGGGAACUGCAUUUGUGACUGCAAGGCUAGAGUACGGCAGAGGGGGAUGGGAUUCCGCGUGUAGCAGUGAAAUGCGUAGAUAUGCGGAGGAACACCAAUGGCGAAGGCAAUCCCCUGGGCCUGUACUGACGCUCAUGCACGAAAGCGUGGGGAGCAAACAGG
rnacentral:rRNA from 1 species